rnacentral:rRNA from 1 species
UACGGGGGGGGCAAGCGUUGUUCGGAAUUACUGGGCGUAAAGGGCGCGUAGGCGGCCAUCUAAGUCAGACGUGAAAUCCCUCGGCUCAACCGAGGAACUGCGUCUGAUACUGGAAGGCUUGAAUCCGGGAGAGGGAUGUGGAAUUCCAGGUGUAGCGGUGAAAUGCGUAGAUAUCUGGAGAAACACCGGUGGCGAAGGCGGCAUCCUGGACCGGUAUUGACGCUGAUGCGCGAAAGCCAGGGGAGCAAACGGG